rnacentral:rRNA from 1 species
CUAGCCGUAAACGAUGGGUACUAGGUGUAGGGGGUUUCGAUACCUUCUGUGCCGGAGUUAACGCAAUAAGUACCCCGCCUGGGGAGUACGUGCGCAAGCAUGAAACUCAAAGGAAUUGACGGGGGCCCGCACAAGCGGUGGAGCAUGUGGUUUAAUUCGAAGCAACGCGAAGAACCUUACCAGGUCUUGACAUCCCUUGACAGCUGUAGAGAUACAGUAUUUCUUCGGAACAAGGAGACAGGUGG